rnacentral:rRNA from 1 species
CCUACGGGAGGCAGCAGUGAGGAAUAUUGGUCAAUGGGCGCGAGCCUGAACCAGCCAAGUCGCGUGAGGGAAGACGGUCCUAUGGAUUGUAAACCUCUUUUGUCGGGGAGCAAAAGACGCCACGCGUGGCGUUCCGAGAGUACCCGAAGAAAAAGCAUCGGCUAACUCCGUGCCAGCAGCCGCGGUAAUACGGAGGCUGCGAGCGUUAUCCGGAUUUAUUGGGUUUAAAGGUUGCGCAGGCGGCAGAUUAAGUCAGCGGUAAAAUUGAGAGGCUCAACCUCUUCGAGCCGUUGAAACUGGUUGUCUUGAGUGAGCGAGAAGUAUGCGGAAUGCGUGGUGUAGCGGUGAAAUGCAUAGAUAUCACGCAGAACUCCGAUUGCGAAGGCAGCAUACCGGCGCUCAACUGACGCUCAUGCACGAAAGUGUGGGUAUCGAACAGGAUUAGAUACCCCAGUAGUC